rnacentral:rRNA from 1 species
GCAAGCUCGGAUGAUCUUUGCCAUUAUCAAGGGUGUCUUGGCAAGUACACCCUACUCAGAGAUGAAGAGAACCCACAGCUGGCAAAGUUUGAGAGGCGGCUUCCUUGCUUUGGUUGCGGAAUAGGAUGGUCCUCAUUUCUUUUAGGUUUCUUGUGUCCAUUGCUUUGGUACUGCGCAACGACUCUUUACUGCUGGAAGUACUACAACAGGGAUCCCCGAGAGUGCCCGGGUCUUGCUACUUCUGCUAUUGCGGUGGGUUUUCCUUCCACGGUAAUUCCUGAACGUGUUACUAUAAUUAAUGUAGUAAAAUCUGGUGUAGUAUGGUCUUGGCCUGGACUUCAUGAUUCAGUUGUAGCUGAAUGA